UAAUUUUGAAGUAAAUGCCUGCACUUUUUGUCAAAUUGACAUAGAGACAACUGAUCAUCUUUUUUUUUCUUGUCUGUCUUCAAAUACUUUUUGGGAAGAUAUGUCCUAUUGGUUGGAAUCAAAGAUUCGAUCACUGCCCACUUUUGCUAGGGAACAUGUUGUGUUUGGAAUGAUGUUGGAAGAGAAAAGAACUGAUUUUCUUGUUAAUGUAAUGUUGAUACUGGGCAAAUUUUUUAUUCAUAAGUCAAAAUGCAUGAAGACGAAACCUUAUUUUUCUAUAUUUAAAAGAGACUUAAUUUGUAAUUUCUUUCCAGCCUUGGAAUGUAUAAAAAGUAAAAAGGCCCAGCAAUUGGCUGGAAUAAUAAGAGACCUUGAGCUCUUAAAAGAGGAAUAAAGAGACCCCUCUGUAUUUGUAUUUUUAUUUUAUCUAAGUUUUUUUAAUUUAAUUUUUUUAUUUUAACUGAUAUGUGCCUUGCCUAAUACUUAUUUAUCUGUACUUACUAAUGCCAUUAUAGAUGUAUAUUCUGUUUUUUUUUUGUUCUGUUCUUGUGUUCAAUAAAAAAAAAAAAAAAAAAGUCCUCAUUGUUGACAGGAAGUUGUGUUGUGCUUCCUGCCCUCGUUCUCCGUGUGCGGUGCUGUGUAACAGGUAGGGUAGCGGUUUUGCUGUCUCCUUGCGAACAUUGUUUCCUGCUGUUUUGGUUACGGUACUAUGUGGUUACUUGCGUUCGUAGAUCUCCGGUCGGAUGGCCAAGCUUUCAUCUAGUCGUUCAAUUCAUUGAACCACUGAACGUGCUGCCUUAUUAGUGCCGUGAGCACUCGUCGAGCUUUCUCCCUCGGGUAUGUCUGAAUGAUGGCUAACAGGAAUGAGGCCAGUUUAGCCGGAGAUCACUGCUAGCUGCACAGGACCGAUUCGCUGGCUGCUGUUUUGUCUGUUCUUUUACUUUGGCCGUUUUGCCUGCGGCUAUAUUGUGCGUUUUUUUUUUGCCUAUGUUUGACGUGCUGUUUUGUGUAUAUCUCCGUGUUUUGUCUGUCUCCGUUUGACUGACAUACGUGCCGCUUUGCCUGGGCCACUGCCUUGUUUGUGUAAACGUAUCAGCGAGUGGAGUAGAUCGUUGGAUGCUCGUCUUGCUAUCACGGCCACUGGGUAGUUACGGCUGUUUGGCCAGGAGUAUGUGGCAUUUGUUUCCGGAGUGCUAUUGUUUUUCUGAUAUGUGAAUAUGGCUCAAGGGGUUGGGGUUUUAACUCAUAAUUUUGUUGAUUUAAGAAGUUUGCUUUCUGGUUUUGUGUUUUCGUUUGUUUUGAUUUCAAAUUAGAUUAAAUUUGUAUUUAUAAUUCACUUGAUUUCUUUCUUUUGAUUUAUUGGAUUUAUAUAAUAUAUAUAUAUAUAUAUAUAUAUAUAUAUAUAUUAGUUUUCUUUAUACUGUCGUAUUAUAACCAUUGUUGGUUUUGGCAGUCAUUUUGUAUUUUGUAAUAAGUUUAUUUUGUUUGGUUUUUUUUUUUGUUGAAAUGAGAAGUUGAUUUAUUUGUUUACUAUUUUUGUUGUAUUUCUACUGCCUCUUUAGAGCCAUUGUGGGUUCUGGCAGUUAUUGUUUAUAUUUUGUGACAAGAACAACAUUGAUUUUCUGUAUUUUCUUUUGUGGAAUCUUUGUGGAAAGAGUGUGUGUUUUCUUCUUUUUUUUUCUUUUGUUACAGUAGCUGAGCGCCGGUGGUGGUAUUGGUGUCUGGGUGGCAUUAUCCCCGUUUGGAGUGCUGUUGACUUCCCUGUUUGCAUUGGUGUUUAUUGGGGUGUGUUUGUGUGUGUACUGGGGGUGUUCUGGGAUUUCUUACUGCCUGUUAAUCCUUUGCCUCCAUUGAUCAAAUGUUCCUUUCUUCUGUCAUGGAGCAUGUAUCAGCUGUUGAAACAAAAGCUCUCCUCAGUGGCCCAGCUUGUGCUGCAAAGCUCCUCCAACCUCCUAUUCCAUGUCUCACUACCUCCACUAGGUCGCGGUACCCCUAAACCUCAGUUUUGUGAAACCACCAUCAACCAGCCAGUGCCCCAAUACUACAACUAGGCCCUCUGUACCACCUCCACCAUCAACCAGCCAGUACCCGACUACUACCACUAGGCCCCCUGUACCACCUCCACCAUCAACCAGCCAGUACCCGACUACUACCACUAGGCCCCCUGUACCACCUCCACCAUCAACCAGCCAGUACCCGAUUACUACCACUAGGCCCCCUGUACUACUUACCUCCACUGUCAAGGACCCACCGCCUGCCACUCUGCAACCUGGUGCAGUGUGUGGAAACCCUUCAGCAUCCAUUCAACCUUCAUCCCCCUCCUUCCAGUCAGACAGGCAUGAAUCUCAAGGUAUUAUAUAAAAUACUGUAAGGAAGAUAAAUGUCAAAACUGUGGUUAAAUUACAUUUUCUUUGUUUUGUAGUGUUAAUCUAUUUCUCUCCUUAUCCCCUCCAUUUUACAGAAAUAACAUCAAAUGACACUAUUUCUACUGGACCUUACAAAAACUCACCAGCAACUUUAUUUUAGGAACAAAAUGACGCUCUAUAAAAAAAUACAAAACUCAUUCUCACAAAAGGGCUACAACUUGUCAAGUGAAAAAUUCGAAAAAACUAGCAAACAUGUUAACCACUUAUAAGAGAGUAAAAGACAGGCGCCGUGCAACUGGGGAGGGGAAGAUCACCUGGGAGUACUAUACACUAAUGGAUGAGUUAUUUGGGUCAUCGGGGAUCGGUACUGCACCACUUGGCACCAUUCACUCCACACCUCUAGGUUUGGAAGAGACCUCCACCCAAAGCAUGCCCACAACGUCUUCUCUUCAAGACCAGCCAGCAGGU